UACGUAGGGGGCAAGCGUUGUCCGGAUUUAUUGGGCGUAGAGAGCGUGUAGGCGGCCAAGUAAGUCUGCUGUGAAAACUCGAGGCUUAACCUCGAGCUGUCGGCGGAAACUAUUUGGCUAGAGUCCGGAAGAGGAGAAUGGAAUUCCCGGUGUAGCGGUGAAAUGCGCAGAUAUCGGGAAGAACACCCGUGGCGAAGGCGGUUCUCUGGGACGGUACUGACGCUGAGACGCGAAAGCGUGGGGAGCGAACAGG
rnacentral:rRNA from 1 species